rnacentral:rRNA from 1 species
GAUGAACGCUGGCGGCGUGCUUAACACAUGCAAGUCGAACGAAGCAAUUAGAGUGCUUGCACUUUGAUUGACUGAGUGGCGGACGGGUGAGUAACGCGUGGGUAACCUGCCUCACACAGGGGGACAACAGUUGGAAACGACUGCUAAUACCGCAUAAUGUUAUUUAGGGGCAUCCCUGAAUAACCAAAGCUUAAUGUGCUGAAAGAUGGUCUCGCGUCUGAUUAGCUAGAUGGCGGGGUAACGGCCCACCAUGGCGACGAUCAGUAGCCGGUCUGAGAGGAUGAACGGCCACAUUGGGACUGAGAUACGGCCCAGACUCCUACGGGAGGCAGCAGUGGGGAAUAUUGGGCAAUGGGGGAAACCCUGACCCAGCAACGCCGCGUGAAGGAAGAAGGCCUUC